GAUUGUGCAGUGUUGAUCUCAGCAACAAAUAAUCAAACAGUUUCAACUGUUAUUUUAAUUCUCCAGAAAUAGUUAAAUUUGAUUCAACCUAACACACACACAUAUAUAUUGAAUAAUAAAUUUGCUUCAUAUGUUGAAUCACUCUGCACUUAAAGAACUAGAGGCUAGAAAAGCUAACAAAAUAAUAAAUCAUCAAGUUCUAUGAUGAAAGAUAG
rnacentral:misc_RNA from 1 species